rnacentral:rRNA from 1 species
UGGGGAAUCUUCCGCAAUGGACGAAAGUCUGACGGAGCAACGCCGCGUGAGUGAUGACGGUCUUCGGAUUGUAAAGCUCUGUUAAUCGGGACGAAUGGUUUGUGUGCAAAUAGUGCAUAGACAUGACGGUACCGGAAUAGAAAGCCACGGCUAACUACGUGCCAGCAGCGGCGGUAAUACGUAGGUGGCAAGCGUUGUCCGGAAUUAUUGGGCGUAAAGUGCGCGCAGGCGGACUAGCCAGUCAGACUUAAAAGUUCGGGGCUUAACCCCGGGCUGGGAUUGAAACUACUAGUCUAGAGUAUCGGAGAGGAAAGUGGAAUUCCUAGUGUAGCGGUGAAAUGCGUAGAUAUUAGGAAGAACACCAGUGGCGAAGGCGACUUUCUGGACGAACACUGACGCUGAGGCGCGAAAGCCAGGGGAGCGAACGGG